rnacentral:rRNA from 1 species
CAGUCGCCGCGGUAAUACGUAGGCAGCGAGCGUUGUUCGGAAUUACUGGGCGUAAAGAGUGUGUAGGCGGUGCUCUAAGUUCGGUGUGAAAUCUCCUGGCUUAACUGGGAGGGUGCGCCGGAAACUGGAAUGCUCGAGCGUGGGAGAGGAAAGCGGAAUUCCUGGUGUAGCGGUGAAAUGCGUAGAUAUCAGGAGGAACACCUGUGGUGUAGACGGCUUUCUGGACCAUUGCUGACGCUGAGACACGAAAGCGUGGGUAGCAAACAGGAUUAGAUACCCGCGUAGUCCCUGUCUCUUAUAA